GCCGGGAUGGCGGAAUUGGUAGACGCACACGACUCAAAAUCGUGCGAGGCAACUCAUGGGAGUUCGAUUCUCCCUCCCGGCACAA
rnacentral:tRNA from 1 species